rnacentral:tRNA from 1 species
GGGUCCAUAGCUCAGCGGUUAGAGCAGCCGGCUCAUAACCGGUCGGUCCCUGGUUCGAACCCAGGUGGACCCACCA